GUGCGAAAGCGUGGGUAGCAAACAGGAUUAGAUACCCUGGUAGUCCACGCCGUAAACGAUGUCAACUAGCCGUUGGGUCCCUUGAGGACUUAGUGGCGCAGCUAACGCAAUAAGUUGACCGCCUGGGGAGUACGGCCGCAAGGUUAAAACUCAAAUGAAUUGACGGGGGCCCGCACAAGCGGUGGAGCAUGUGGUUUAAUUCGAUGCAACGCGAAGAACCUUACCUACCCUUGACAUCCAGAGGACUUUCCAGAGAUGGAUUGGUGCCUUCGGGAACUCUGACACAGGUGCUGCAUGGCUGUCGUCAGCUCGUGUUGUGAAAUGUUGGGUUAAGUCCCGUAACGAGCGCAACCCCUAUCCUUAUUUGCCAGCGAGUAAUGUCGG
rnacentral:rRNA from 1 species